rnacentral:rRNA from 1 species
GCGAGCUAGCGGUUCUGGCUCGACCGUUGGUCACGCACUAGACCCUUUGCGGAACAGUUCCAGUCGCUCUUCCUAAUAUGCGCCACUCCCCAACUCAAGGUGGGAGCCGCUCUGACCGACCUUUCUCGCAUGACCUUUAGGCGUACGUUUGGCCCCCACAAGCGGGGCCAAUGGGAGGAGCUGCUAGAAUGCAUUGCCCUGCAUGCUCCGUCCCUUGAGCCGGAUGCCAUGUCUUGGCAUUUAGAGCCCAAUGGGCACUUCUCCACCAGGUCCUUGUACCAGACCCUGGUGGCUACUCCUGGGGCUCAAGAGUUAAAUCUCCACUGGGAGAUUAGAGUACCACUGAAGAUUCAAAUAUUCCUUUGGCAAUGGGUGCGGGACCGCCUCCCAUCCGGUACGGAAGUGCGCAAGCGCAAUGGCCCUGGGGAUGGUAAUUGCCCCCUGUGCGGUGUCCCUGAGGACACUAACCAUAUUUUCUUCCGUUUUCCGGCUGCAACUUUCUUAUGGAGCUGUCUUCGAGAGACAGUGGGAGGCAACUGGGCCCAUGACAACCUCCCGGAUCUCUUCCGGGAAAUUAUUGAUUCCCCGUGUAGAACUCGCCCCACCCUUUGGAUGGCGAUUAGUGCGCUAGCUUGGACGCUCUGGAAUGUGCACAAUAAACUUGUGAUUGAACAUGUGAUUCCGCUUUGGACGACUGACGCCAUUUACAAAAUGUGCGGAUUCUUGCAGCUCUAG